ensembl:rRNA 5S_rRNA 5S ribosomal RNA
GUCUGUAGCCAUACUACCCUGACCACACUCAAACUCAUCAGAUCUCAGAAACUAAGCAGGGGUGGGCCUGCUAGUACUCAGAUGGGAGAAAUGUGAAAUUGAGUUUCAUAGUUC